AACGAACGCUGGCGGCAUGCCUAACACAUGCAAGUCGAACGAGACCUUCGGGUCUAGUGGCGCACGGGUGCGUAACGCGUGGGAACCUGCCCUUAGGUUCGGAAUAACUCCCCGAAAGGGGUGCUAAUACCGGAUAAUGUCUUCGGACCAAAGAUUUAUCGCCUUUGGAUGGGCCCGCGUUGGAUUAGCUAGUUAGUAGGGUAAAAGCCUACCAAGGCGACGAUCCAUAGCUGGUCUGAGAGGAUGAUCAGCCACACUGGGACUGAGACACGGCCCAGACUCCUACGGGAGGCAGCAGUGGGGAAUAUUGGACAAUGGGCGAAAGCCUGAUCCAGCAAUGCCGCGUGAGUGAUGAAGGCCUUAGGGUUGUAAAGCUCUUUUACCCGGGAUGAUAUUGACAGUACCGGGAGAAUAAGCUCCGGCUAACUCCGUG
rnacentral:rRNA from 1 species